rnacentral:rRNA from 1 species
CAUUAAUGUACAUUGUAGCUUUGUCUUAGUUAAUAUAACUAAAAUAAUUUGGCAGUGAGCGACUCUUUUUAGGGGAAGGUGUGGUGUAAAGGAUGUUCCGCCUAAUAAUUUACUUUCGUUAUGUUGGUGUAUAUCUGGUUUAAUAUUAUCGUUGAGUAAGUGAGUUUGUGUAGUUUUAUUUAAGCCAAGUCUAUGUGCUGCUUAUGAAAGUAUUCAUGCGUUACAUUUAUAAGGUUUUGGUUGUAAUACUAAAAUAUUUAGGACUUAAAAGUAAUGUUCAAUAAGUUUGUGAGUGUGAAGUAAGUUUAGCUCAUGUACACACCGCCCGUCACCCUCGAUGCAUAUUGAG